GACGAACGCUGGCGGCGUGCUUAACACAUGCAAGUCGAACGGAAAGGCCCUGCUUGCAGGGUACUCGAGUGGCGAACGGGUGAGUAACACGUGGGUGAUCUGCCCUGCACUUCGGGAUAAGCCUGGGAAACUGGGUCUAAUACCGGAUAGGAGCCAUUUUUAGUGUGAUGGUUGGAAAGUUUUUUCGGUGUAGGAUGAGCUCGCGGCCUAUCAGCUUGUUGGUGGGGUAAUGGCCUACCAAGGCGGCGACGGGUAGCCGGCCUGAGAGGGUGGACGGCCACAUUGGGACUGAGAUACGGCCCAGACUCCUACGGGAGGCAGCAGUGGGGAAUAUUGCACAAUGGGCGCAAGCCUGAUGCAGCGAGGCCGCGUGGGGGAUGACGGCCUUCAGGUUGUAAACUCCUUUCGCUAGGGACGAAGCUUUUUGUGACGGUACCUAGAUAAGAAGCACCGGCUAACUACGUG
rnacentral:rRNA from 1 species